UACGAAGGGGGCUAGCGUUGCUCGGAAUUACUGGGCGUAAAGCGCACGUAGGCGGAUUGUUAAGUCGGGGGUGAAAUCCUGGAGCUCAACUCCAGAACUGCCUUCGAAACUGGCGAUCUUGAGUCCGGGAGAGGUGAGUGGAACUGCGAGUGUAGAGGUGAAAUUCGUAGAUAUUCGCAAGAACACCAGUGGCGAAGGCGGCUCACUGGCCCGGUACUGACGCUGAGGAGCGAAAGCGUGGGGAGCGAACAGG
rnacentral:rRNA from 1 species